rnacentral:rRNA from 1 species
CCCUUAGAUGUCCUGGGCCGCACGCGCGCUACACUGAUGCAUGCAACGAGUUUAUAACCUUGGCCUGAAAGGUCUGGGUAAUCUUUUGAACGUGCAUCGUGAUAGGGAUAGAUUAUUGCAAUUGUUAAUCUUGAACGAGGAAUUCCUAGUAAACGCGAGUCAUCAGCUCGCAUUGAUUACGUCCCUGCUCUUUGUACACACCGCCCGUCGCACCUACCGAUUGAAUGGUUCGGUGAAGAUCUCGGACUUCGAUAUUUAUUCUUUAUUGAGUUUAUAUUGUGGGAAGUUAUCUAAACCUCAUCAUUUAGAGGAAGGUGAAGUCGUAACA